rnacentral:rRNA from 1 species
GGCCUGGCUGGACGGUCCGCCCUUCGGGUGAGUACUGUCUGUGGUCGGGUCCUACCUUCUGGCGAAGCGUCAUGGCCUUAACCGGCCGUGGCGGGGAACCAGGACUUUUACUGUGAAAAAAUUAGAGUGUUUAAAGCAGGCUCACGCUUGAAUACAUUAGCAUGGAAUAAUGAAAUAGGACAAUGGUUCUAUUUGUUGGUUUCUAGGACUGUUGUA